UACGGGGGGGGCAAGCGUUGUCCGGAAUUAUUGGGCGUAAAGAGCUCGUAGGCGGUUUGGUAAGUCGGAUGUGAAAUCUCCAGGCUCAACCUGGAGGGGUCAUUCGAUACUGCCAUGACUAGAGUUCGGUAGGGGAGUGUGGAAUUCCUGGUGGAGCGGUGAAAUGCGCAGAGAUCAGGAGGAACACCCGUAGCGAAGGCGGCACUCUGGGCCGAUACUGACGCUGAGGAGCGAAAGCGUGGGGAGCGAACAGG
rnacentral:rRNA from 1 species